AGCCAGCACCUCUCCUAAACAGGUGUUCUACUCUGCUAGCCAGCACCUCUCCUAAACAGGUGUUCUACUCUGCCAGCCAGCACCUCUCCUAAACAGGUGUUCUACUCUGCUAGCCAGCACCUCUCCUAAACAGGUGUUCUACUCUGCCAGCCAGCACCUCUCCUAAACAGGUGUUCUACUCUGCUAGCCAGCACCUCUCCUAAACAGGUGUUCUACUCUGCUAGCCAGCACCUCUCCUAAACAGGUGUUCUACUCUGCCAGCCAGCACCUCUCCUAAACAGGUGUUCUACUCUGCCAGCCAGCACCUCUCCUAAACAGGUGUUCUACUCUGCUAGCCAGCACCUCUCCUAAACAGGUGCACUACUCCGCUAGCCAGCACCUCUCCUAAACAGGUGUUCUACUCUGCUAGCCAGCACCUCUCCUAAACAGGUGUUCUACUCUGCCAGCACCUCUCCUAAACAGGUGUUCUACUCCGCUAGCCAGCACCUCUCCUAAACAGCUUCCCGUCCCUCUCCUCGCCCCAACCUGGGCUUGAACCAGAGACCUUCUGCACACAUCGAUAACAGCCACCCCACGAAGCAUCGUUACCCAUCGCUCCACAAAAGCCGCGGCCCUUGCAGAGCAAAGGGGAAACAACUACUUCAAGGUCUCAGAGAGAGUGACGUCACCCGAUUGAAACGCUAUUAGCGCGCACCACCGCUAACUAGCUAGCCAUUUCACAUCGGUUACACCAGCACAAGUCAAGAUUCUAAAAUGGAUAAUUUAGGAACACAUAGUCUUAUGACCUGUUACAAUGAAAACAUGCCGUCCAUCUCUAUCGUUGUCAAAUCUGUGAUUGGCUGAAAGCGGAAGAAGGAAUGCACAGCUGAAUAUGUGCGUGUACAAUUUUUUUUUUUUAAGUACUGUAUUUUCAGCUCUUAUGAUGUUUCUGGGCGUUUCUGUUUCCUUUUUUUUUAGUAAGUAACGAUGUGAAUUAACUGAAAGAAUAUUCUAGUGUGACAGUGUUCUAGUCUAGUCAUGACGUUUGCGUUUUUUUAAUGUAAAAUGUUUUUUGUUGUACUGUAUGUGUGUUUAUAGUUGUGUUAGUGUAUGUAAGUUGUUUUGUCUGAAACGUUGUUCCCUCUGCUACUAUUGGACCAGGUCUCUCUUGGAAAAGAGAUGUUAUCUCAAUGAGAGAAAACCUGUAUAAAUAAAG
rnacentral:lncRNA from 1 species